rnacentral:lncRNA from 1 species
CCGAGACCCAGAGGGGGAGGCCCCCAGAGAAAGGCGGUAGCAGGGCCCUGGACCUCCCUGUCUCUUCCUGGCCCCUUCAUCCUGGGUGUGUCUGUGGCUAGGUUCAGUGCUUAUCAUAGCUAAGUGCUGGAAGCUCGUGAAACAGAGUUUACCCUGCAGUGGUUUGAGUGUGGCUCUGAAGUCAGACUGAGCCUGAAUCACUGCUCAGCUUCUGGCUAUCAGUUUGAUCGUGGACAACCACUUAAACUCCGUGAGCUUCAGCUUCCUUGUCUCUAACAAAGAUGGGUACAAUAGCAUCACACAGGAUGUUGUAAGGAUGAAGCAAGUUCCUACAUGAAAAGUGUUGAGAACAGCUCCUGCCUCAUAGAGUAAAGGCUCAACAGGAUCUGGCACAUUUUCCAGCUGCCUGUAGGUAUUCUGGAAGCGUUGGUGGUUUCAGUGGCAAAAACAUCAAGGGCUCUGCGGUGAUUACUUCUGGAGAGGCAGCUGCGGGGAGCACCAUGUUCAAGUGCAGGAGCACCAGCUGGGAGUCUACUCCGCCCCGACUGCCAGUGGGGCCUCGGCAAUUUGUUUUCCCCUAUGGAGUCCAAGUUUCCCAACUCAUUCUUUCCUCUCAUCAAUGAAGAGUCAGUAAGCACAGACGCUGUGCCAGGAAUCAUGAGAGGUAUUGCUAUGGGAAAGAUGACCAGACUCAAACCACCCACAGAGAGGAAGAGAGACAUGGAAAUCACCUCCAUAAAACAUAAUGGAUGCAUGCCCACUAGGAUGGCUAAAAUUAAAAAGACAGAUAAUAUGACGUGUUGGCAAAGAUAUGGAGAAAGUGGGCCCCUCGUAGGAUGCUAAAUGCCCAGAAUAGGCAAAUCUAUAGAAACAAAGAUUAGUGGUUGGUUCAGGCUAAUGGCAGGGGGUUUGGAGCAAAAUGGGGAGAGAUACUACAGGUUCCUUUUCGGGGUGAUAAAAAUGUUCUAAAAUAAAAUUGUGAUGAUGGUUGAACAACCCUGUGACUAUAUGGAAAACAGGGAAUUGUACACUUGAAGUGGGUGAAUUGUAUGUGAAUUGUAUCUCAAAACUAUUCAUAAAAAG